rnacentral:rRNA from 1 species
UACGUAGGGUGCAAGCGUUAUCCGGAAUUAUUGGGCGUAAAGAGCUCGUAGGCGGUUUGUCGCGUCUGCUGUGAAAACUGGAGGCUCAGCCUCCAGCCUGCAGUGGGUACGGGCAAACUAGAGUGCGGUAGGGGAGAUUGGAAUUCCUGGUGUAGCGGUGGAAUGCGCAGAUAUCAGGAGGAACACCGAUGGCGAAGGCAGAUCUCUGGGCCGUAACUGACGCUGAGGAGCGAAAGCAUGGGAGCGAACAGG